GACAGAGGAGGCAAGCGUUGUCCGGAUUGACUGGGCGUAAAGCGUCCGCAGGUGGUCGCGCAAGUGCGCUGUGAAAGCGGCCCGCUCAACGGGCCGAGGCCAGCGCAGACUGCGCAACUCGAGGUCGGGAGAGGUCGGUGGAAUUGCCGGUGCAGUGGUGAAAUGCGUAGAGAUCGGCAGGAACACCCAAGGGGAAGCCAGCCGACUGGCCCGCACCUGACACUCAGGGACGACAGCGUGGGGAGCGAACCGG
rnacentral:rRNA from 1 species